rnacentral:lncRNA from 1 species
GUCCGCAUUUGUCCCUGUUUUUUUAGGUUUCUUAUACAAAACAUCCUGGUUCUUGGAUUAAAUUCAAAUACGACUCCGUCGGAGUUCAUUCCUUUGGCGUGUGAGGACUGCUGGUGCGUGGGGAUGGGGACGCAUACUCUUAGCAUUUAAACCUCGCAUCUAAUUGGAAAAAGCAGGACUGGAGGGAUCCCUCGGCGCUCCAGGGGCUCAAGCCUGGCCGGAGUCUCCGAUGGCCUCCUUGCGAAGAGCGCGACUCUCCGCGGCGGCGGAUGUGGAGAGAAGCCCUUGAUAAAAGGCAACAUCAGCCAGAAUCUAAAUUUGCGAAAAUGGACCAACAGGAAAUUUCACCCCGUGUCAGACAAACUUCAUAAGGGCGCUGUGGGGAUCCUACUGCUCGGGAGAGGCCUUUUAAGAAAAUUGCAACUUUUCGCCAGAGCCUGAGGGUAUCGGGAAGUCACACAAAGACCAUCACACCCUUUUGCGGCUUCUCUUCUGGGGUGGUGAGGGAAAAGCAAACUGUUUCUCAGGGAAGGGGAGCUCGGUCCGGAGGAGGAGAGGAACCGGGAACUGGAGAGGCAACUCCCAGAACCAGGGGACAGGCUGGCUCCCAGGAGAGAAGUGACAGCUUCCUCAGCUGAGUCCCUGGGUUGCCACCUGUAUCCUUCCUGCAGAUCGGAUUUAUAGAGUGCAGCAUUUUAAUAAAAAAC